UUGGACCCACCUGAACCCAUUCCGAACUCAGAAGUGAAACGAAAUAGCGUCGAUGGUAGUGUGGGGUUUCCCCAUGUGAGAGUAGAACAUCGCCAGGC
rnacentral:rRNA from 1 species